AUUGAACGCUGGCGGCAGGCCUAACACAUGCAAGUCGAACGAGUGGCGGACGGGUGAGUAAUGUCUGGGACACUGCCUGAUGGAGGGGGAUACCUACUGGAAACGGUCGCUAAUACCGCAUACCAUCGGAUGUGCCCCGAUGGGAUUAGCUAGUAGGUGGGGUAAAGGCUCACCUAGGCGACGCUCCCUAGCUGGUCUGAGAGGAGGACCAGCCACACGGGAACUGAGACACGGGCAAGACUCCGACGGGAGGCAGCAGUGGGGAAUAUUGCACAAUGGGCGCAAGCCUGAUGCAGCCAGGCCGCGUGUAUGAAGAAGGCCUUCGGGUUGUAAAGUACUUUCAGCGGGGAGGCGUUACCCGCAGAAGAAGCACCGGCUAACUCCGUGCCAGCAGCCGCGGUAAUUC
rnacentral:rRNA from 1 species